GGCUUUGUGGUGUAAUGGUAGCACAUUCAGAGUGCAUUUGAGAAGUCCAGGUUCAAGUCCUGGUGAGGACU
rnacentral:tRNA from 1 species